rnacentral:sRNA from 1 species
GACCGAAUUUACAGCAUCCAAAGCAUU